rnacentral:rRNA from 1 species
UACGUAGGGGGCAAGCGUUGUCCGGAUUUAUUGGGCGUAAAGGGCGCGUAGGCGGCUUUGCAAGUGGCGGGUGAAAGCCCUCGGCUUAACCGAGGAACUGCCUGUCAGACUGUGAGGCUUGAGACCGGGAGAGGUGAGUGGAAUUCCCAGUGUAGCGGUGAAAUGCGUAGAUAUUGGGAGGAACACCAGUGGCGAAGGCGGCUCACUGGACCGGAACUGACGCUGAGGCGCGAAAGCGUGGGGAGCAAACAGG